rnacentral:rRNA from 1 species
UUGACCUCAAAUCAGGUAGGAUUACCCGCUGAACUUAAGCAUAUCAAUAAGCGGAGGAAAAGAAACUAACAAGGAUUCCCCUAGUAACUGCGAGUGAAGCGGGAAGAGCUCAAAUUUAAAAUCUGGUGGUCUUUGACCGUCCGAGUUGUAAUCUAGAGAAGUGUUACCUGUGCUGGACCGUGUACAAGUCUCCUGAA